rnacentral:rRNA from 1 species
UUGGAGGGCAAGUCUGGUGCCAGCAGCCGCGGUAAUUCCAGCUCCAAUAGCGUAUAUUAAAGUUGUUGCAGUUAAAAAGCUCGUAGUUGAAUUUCGGGGUUCUACCGUUGGUCGGGCUAUUGUCUGUACUGGCGUGUAGAAUUUCUACCUUCUGGGGAACUAUCAUGUUAUUAAUUUAGCGUGGUAGGAAACCAGGACCCUUACCUUGAAAAAAUUAGAGUGUUCAAAGCAGGCUUAUGUCUGAAUACAUUAGCAUGGAAUAAUAAAAUAGGACGGUGGUCCUGUUUUGUUGGUUUCUGAAUCACCGUAAUGAUUAAUAGGGAUAGUUGGGGGCAUUAGUAUUCAAUUGUCAGAGGUGAAAUUCUUGGAUUUAUUGAAGACUAACUACUGCGAAAGCAUUUGCCAAGGAUGUUUUCAUUAAUCAAGAACGAAAGUUAGGGGAUCGAAGACGAUCAGAUACCGUCGUAGUCUUAACCAUAAACUAUGCCGACUAGGGAUCGGAUGAUGUUAAUUUUUUAAUGACUCAUUCGGCGCCUUACGGGAAA